rnacentral:rRNA from 1 species
UCCUCCGGGGCGCAGCAGUAGGGAAUCUUCCACAAUGGGCGAAAGCCUGAUGGAGCAACGCCGCGUGGGUGACUCCGUUCUUCGGCUCGUAACACCCUGUUGUUAGAGACGCCAGUGCGUGAGAGUAACUGUUCACGUUUCGACGGUAUCUAACCAGAAAGCCCCGGCUAACUACGUGCCAGCAGCCGCGGUAAUACGUAGGUGGCCCGCGUUAUCCGGCUUUAUUGGGCGUAAAGGGAACGCAGGCGGUCUUUUAAGUCUGAUGUGAAAGCCUUCGGCUUAACCGGCGUAGUGCAUUGGAAACU